CAACUUUCAGCAACGGAUCUCUUGGCUCUCGCAUCGAUGAAGAACGCAGCAAAAUGCGAUAAGUAAUGUGAAUUGCAGAAUUCAGUGAAUCAUCGAAUCUUUGAACGCACCUUGCACUCCUUGGUAUUCCGAGGAGUAUGCCUGUUUGAGUGUCAUUA
rnacentral:rRNA from 1 species